rnacentral:lncRNA from 1 species
AUUCGACCCGACCCAGAGAAUUCUCCUCCCUUAGUCUCUCAAACAUCUUCGCCCUCAAUCCCCUUCCAGACUCCACCCUCUCCAUGGCAGGCUCUUCCUCACAACCCUCCUCGCAGAAAUCCAAAUACCCAAUUCCAGAACGGCCCGGUACACGGGUCGGAGUCGAAGGAAGGCUACAGAAACCGGGUCGAAGAAUUGACCCGCGUGGAGACACGAACCCGGGAGAGCCCGGAGACCCAAACCCGGAAGAACCCACCUGCACAU